ensembl:lncRNA
UUUUUUUUUUUUUUUUUGGUCUUUUUGUAUUUUUAGGGCCGCACCUGAGGGAUAUAGAGGUUCCCAGGCUAGGGGUCCAAUAGGAGCUGUAGUGUGGCCCUAAAAAGACAAGAAAAAAAAAAAAGGGGAGAGAGAAGAGAGGAACCAUGACACUCAGAAAUAUGACUACAAAUAUUAAGUUCAAAUAUUAAACAUUAAAGUCAAGUUCAAGGUGUUGUGGAGGCAUCCAGCUCAGACGGGGUGGAAAGGGGUCAUUAAGAGUAUCUUGAAGGAGUUCCCGUUGUGGCUCAGCAGUAACGAAGCCGACUGGUAUCCAUAAGGACGCAGGUUCAAUCCCUUGCCUCUCUCAGUGGGUUAAGGAUCUGGCGUGAGCUAUGAAGUAGCUCAUAGACACAGCUUGGAUCCUGGGUGGCUGUGGCUGUGGCAUAGGCUGGCGGCUACAGCUGCAAUUUGACCCCUAGCCUGGGAACUUCUAUAUGUGAUGGGUGCAGCCCUAAAAAAAAAAAAAAAAAAAAAAAAAAAAAAAAAAGGGAUCAAAAAGGGCUAUUACUUAAGAGAAGUUUCAGGUGGAGGGAGCAAUGUGUGACGAGGGAGUGUUCCAGAAACAACAAAUUGCAUGGUGUGGCUGAAGGGCAGGAAGUUACAAGUGAUGAGGUUAAUAAGGCAGACAGAAGCCCAGGCACAGAGAGCCCAGCAUAAUGUACUAUAGUGCUUGGAGUGUGCUGAAGGCUAUUGGGAACUAUUUAAGAUCGAGGCCAGAGAGGGACGUGAUCGGAUUUGCAUUUAGAAAGUUCUCUAUGGUAGCAGUGUGGAGAAGAAAUUACAUGAAGGGGAGAAAGACUGAGGCAGUAGCCAAGUGGAAGCACUUCUAAUUGAUAGAAUCUACAUAACGGGGAAGUUGAAACAUAAGAUGACAGAAAUCGCUCUAUGCUGAGUCUGAGACCAGGUUGGCAUUGAUAAGCUUUCUCCUUUGAACAAUUAAAUUACUUAAUCUCUUUGGGCCUCAGUUUUUACAUUCUGAAAAAUGUGUUUAUGUGUGAAAGCAAAACUAGAGGGAACACUAGAUCAUUAGGUUCACCAACCUUUUCUUAUGCUUUAAAAUUUAUACAUAGGGAGUUCCCGUUGGUUGUGGCUCAGUGGUUAACGAACCCAACUAGCAUCCAUGAGGACGCAGGUUCAAUCCCUGGCCUUACUCGGUGGGUUAAGGAGCCGGUGUUGUCAUGAGCUGUGGUGUAGGUUGCAGAUGUGGCUCGGAUCUCGAGUUGCUGUGGCUCUGGCAUAAGCCUUCGACUAUAGCUCUGAUUUGACCCUAGCCUGGGAACCUCCAGAUGCUGUGGGUACAGCCCUAAAAAGACAAAAAAAAAAAACCCCAAUAAAUAAAUAAAUAAAAAUUUAUAGAUAUAAAAAAAAUUUAAAUAUGUGUUACAGUAUAAAGAAGAAUGAUGUAGAAAAUAUCAGCAUAUCUACCAUCUAGUUUAAGAGGAAUACUACUAGUAGCUUAAAGUCAACUGCAUGUCUCUCCCCAAACCCAUCUUUUCACCAUGAGAUCACACUAUAUCCCAAAAUCUGUUCACCAUUCCCUUGUUUUUCUUUAUAACUUUAUCACAUCUGUAUCUCUAAACAUAUUUUCAGUGUCUGAACUUUAUAUAAAUCUAAACAUGAUGUAUAUUCUUCUGCUACUUUUCAAUCUACAAUUUGUUGAGAUUCACUCAUGUUGCUAUAGUUGCAAUUUAAUUAUUUCCAGUGUCCUACUAUAUGGCCAUACUGUGAUUUUUUAUCCGAUCUAAAGUAGAUGGACUGGAAUUUUUUUCCCAGUUUGGAUUUUUUGUUCGUUUUUCCUAAUGCCAACAGUAUGACUAUGGACAUUUCUGUACACGUCUCCUACUGCAUAUGUGUAAGGGUUCUUUAGGGUAGGUACCUAGAAGUGGAAUUGCUGGGUCACAGGGGAUGUACAUCUUCAAUCAUGAGAUAAUACCAAAUUGUUUUGCAAAAUAGUUGUACCCAUUUACAUUACUGUUUGCUAGGUUCUGGUUGCGUCAUAUCCUUGCUGACAUUUUUGGUCAGACUUUAAUUCUUGCCAGUCUGACAGACAUAAAACAGUACAUCACUGUAGUUUUAAUGUGCAUUUCCCUAACUGCUCAUGAGGCCGAGCAUCCCCAACUCUUUUUGUAGAAAGGAGCUACUUUUUAUUUUUCAAAAACACUGAGAUCAAAUCUCUUCUCUGAAAGCCUAGCAUGGCUGAAGGUCCUUCAGAAUGCUGCCUCCCAACAAAACUGAAGACCCGCCUCUCAGUACCGAGGUAAAAUGUAUGACCAAAUCUCAGCCAUGUUGACAUCUGACACAUAGGCAAAGCUAAAAUGUUUUCGCUUGAGAAGUGAAGGUGAGUUAGAGAUUUUAGAAGGACAAGACUGAAACAAAAAUCAGAGAAGGGCAGAUGUUGUGGUAUAUAGGGUUUCUGACUAUCUGACAACAACAUAAUUCUUUAGCCUCCUUUCUGUCACCUUUCCAGCGCUCUAUACUUCAGCCACUGUUGUACUCUCACGCCUGUGAUUUCAUUCAGGAUACUUCCUGCUUCCUGAAGUACCUACCUUUUUUCAGUUAUUUCCCCUGCUUCUUGAAAUUUAUUAAUCCUUCUCUGCCUAGUUCAAAUAUAAUUGCUUCCAUGAAGCCAUGCUGACCCUGUUCCCCAGAAAGAACUCAUCAAGCUCUCCACUGUCUCAACAGCAUUCUAUUACUCCUCUAUUCUAGUAUCCAUCCCAUAUAGUUGUAACAGGGAUAGAAUGCAAGCUGUUUGAGGGAAAGUACUACCUGUUAAAUCCUGAAGUGCUGAACAGCACUCUGUCACCCAUCAAUUCUUCAUAAAAUACUGGUGGAUAGAAAGAUGAACAGAAUCUGCUAAGUUGAAAAUCUCUAAACAAUGAAAAAGUCCUUUCUAACUCUUGGUGACUAUGAAGGAAAAAUCAGAGGAGUUCCUGCUGUGGUACAGUGGGUUAAGAAUCCAACUGCAGUGGCUCGGAUGGCUGUGGAGGUGCAGGUUGGAUCCCCUGCCCAGUACAGCGUAGGUUAAGGAUCCGGCAUUGCUACAGCUGUGGUGUAGGUUGCAGCUGCAGCUCAGAUUCCAUCCCCAGCCUGGGAACUUCCAUAUGCCAUAAGUAUGGCUGUAAAAAAAAAAAAAAGGAAAGGAGCUCCUGUUGUAGUUCAGUGGGUUACAAACUCAACUAGUAUCCACAAGGAUGCAAGACUGAUCCUUGGCCUUGCUCAAUGGGGUAAGGAACCAGCAUUGCUAUGAGCUCAGAUCUGGUGCAUUACCGUGGCUGUGGUGUAGGCCAGCAGCUACAGCUCCGAUUUGACCCCUAGCCUGGGAAUCCAUAUGCAGUACAUGUGGCCCUAAAAAAAAAAAACUCAAAAAAUGGACUUUUUAAUCAAAUUAAAAUUGGCUUCAGAGGCUACUCAUUAAUUAAAUUAGUUAAAAAAAAUUAUUUAAAUAUAGAAAUUCACUGAAUUUAAAGAAAAACACAUCAGCAGGUAUAAGAAAUUUAGCAGCUUUGAACUAUAAAAUACACAUUACUUUUAAAAACAAAAAUGUAAUUAAGACUAUUGUUACUAUAAAAGCCCAUUUCAUAAUUUAAGAUUAAAAAGUCAUUUUAGUGGUUUAAAAAAAACUAUGGUAGUCUUUCCUCAAACACAGCAGUUGGGAGUACCCUUUAUGGCUCAGUGGUUACAGAACCCGAACAGGAUCCAUGAGAAUGUGGAUUCGAUCCCCGGCCUCGCUCAGUGGGUUAAGGAUCCAGCAUUGCCCAUUGCUAUGAGCUGUGGUGUGGGUCGUGGACGCAGCUGGGAUCCCACAUUGCUGUGGCUAUGGCUCCAAUUCCACCCCGUAGUCUGGGAACCUCCGUAUGCCACAGGUGCGGCCAUAAAAA